CCUACGGGGUGCUGCAGUGGGGAAUAUUGCACAAUGGGGGAAACCCUGAUGCAGCAACGCCGCGUGGGUGAAGAAGUAUUUCGGUAUGUAAAGCCCUAUCAGCAGGGAAGAGAAUGACGGUACCUGACUAAGAAGCCCCGGCUAACUACGUGCCAGCAGCCGCGGUAAUACGUAGGGGGCAAGCGUUAUCCGGAUUUACUGGGUGUAAAGGGAGCGUAGACGGUUGUGCAAGUCUGAAGUGAAAGCCCGCGGCUCAACUGCGGAACGGCUUUGGAAACUGUGUAACUGGAGUGCUGGAGAGGGAAGCGGAAUGCCUGGUGUAGCGGUGAAAGGCGUAGAGAUCAGGAGGAAAACUGACGGCGAAGGCGGCUUACUGGACAGGAACUGACGUUGAGGAUCGAAAGCGUGGGGAGCAAACAGGAUGAGAUACCCGAGGAGUC
rnacentral:rRNA from 1 species